GGCCAGAUGGCCGAGCGGUCUAAGGCGAUUGACUCGAAGUUCUACCUUCUGUAAUCAAUUCUCGUAAGAGGCGCAAGUUCAAAUCUUGCUCUGGUCG